AUUCAGCUGACGAGUCACACAUAGGACGAAUUUUCGCGCGUCCUGAAU
rnacentral:hammerhead_ribozyme from 1 species